rnacentral:rRNA from 1 species
AGGUUGAAGAGAGUUUUAAUAGGUUUUGGAGGAUUGAAUUUAUGUAUGUGGUAAAAUAUGGGGAUGAUUUGUGGUUAGGGGUGAAAGGUUAAUUAAGAUUGGAUAUAGUUGGUUUUUUGUGAAAUUUAUUUUAGUAGAGUGUAUGAUGUAGAUGGUUUGAGGUAGAGUAUUUAAUGGGUUAGGGUGGUUU